rnacentral:rRNA from 1 species
AUUGAACGCUAGCGGGAUGCUUUACACAUGCAAGUAGAACGAGUGGCGGACGGGUGAGUAAUAUAUCGGAACGUGCCCAGUAGCGGGGGAUAACUACUCGAAAGAGUGGCUAAUACCGCCUACUAUUGGAGCGGCCGUUGUCGGCUGAGCGAGGUGGUGGGGUAAAGGCUGACCAAGGCAACGAUCCGUAGCUGGUUUGAGAGGACGACCAGCCACACUGGGACUGAGAAACGGCCCAGACUCCUACGGGAGGCAGCAUUGGGGAAUUUUGGACAAUGGGGGAAACCCUGAUCCAGCCAUCCCGCGUGUAUGAGAAGGCCUUCGGGUUGUAAAGUACUUUUGGCAGAGAAGCGGUAUCUGCAGAAUAAGCACCGGCUAACUACGUGCCAGCAGCCGCGGUAAUAC